rnacentral:ncRNA from 1 species
AUAAAUGCUGUGAAUAGGAAAAGUAAAUUAUAUAGAACAUACAGAGAGAAACUACAUGGUUGAGAUAGUUUUAUGUAGAAAUAUAGUUGAAGUGCCCCUGUGAGCAUAAAACCGAAAUUUAGUAGGCUUUUACGGGUUCUCCCGUUAUAGAGAUAUGGUAUGUCAGUAUCAGAAUAAAGAUGGGCAUUUUUGCUUAAUCAGAGUGGAACCGCGGAAGUUAACCUUCUGCCUCUGAA